rnacentral:rRNA from 1 species
UUUUCCCCCGGAAAAAACUAGCAUAUCAAUAAGCGGAGGAAAAGAAACCAACAGGGAUUGCCCUAGUAACGGCGAGUGAAGCGGCAACAGCUCAAAUUUGAAAUCUGGCGCAAGCCCGAGUUGUAAUUUGCAGAGGAUGUUUCUGGCGACGUGCCUUCCGAGUUCCCUGGAACGGGACGCCAUAGAGGGUGAGAGCCCCGUACGGUUGGAUGCCUAGCCUCUGUGAAACUCCUUCGACGAGUCGAGUAGUUUGGGAAUGCUGCUCUAAAUGGGAGGUAUACGUCUUCUAAAGCUAAAUAUUGGCCAGAGACCGAUAGCGCACAAGUAGAGUGAUCGAAAGAUGAAAAGCACUUUGAAAAGAGGGUUAAAAAGUACGUGAAAUUGUUGAAAGGGAAGCGUUCAUGACCAGACUUGGGCAGGUUGAUCAUCCGUGGUUCUCCGCGGUGCACUCUGCCUGCCCAGGCCAGCAUCAGUUCGCCCUGGGGGAUAAAGGCUUCGGGAAUGUGGCUCCUCCGGGAGUGUUAUAGCCCGCUGCGUAAUACCCUGCGGCGGACUGAGGUACGCGCUCCGCAAGGAUGCUGGCGUAAUGGUCAUCAGCGACCCGUCUUGAAACACGGACCAAGGAGUCGUCUUCGUAUGCGAGUGUUCGGGUGUCAAACCCCUACGCGUAAUGAAAGUGAACGUAGGAGAGAGCUUCGGCGCAUCUCCGACCGAUCCUGAUGUUCUCGGAUGGAUUUGAGUAAGAGCAUACGGGGCCGGACCCGAAAGAAGGUGAACUAUGCCUGUAUAGGGUGAAGCCAGAGGAAACUCUGGUGGAGGCUCGCAGCGGUUCUGACGUGCAAAUCGAUCGUCAAAUAUGGGCAUGGGGGCGAAAGACUAAUCGACUUUUUU